UACGUAGGGGGCAAGCGUUGUCCGGAAUCAUUGGGCGUAAAGAGCGCGUAGGCGGCCCUGUAAGUCCGCUGUGAAAGUCAAGGGCUCAACCCUUGAAUGCCGGUGGAUACUGCAGGGCUAGAGUCCGGAAGAGGCGAGUGGAAUUCCUGGUGUAGCGGUGAAAUGCGUAGAUAUCAGGAGGAACACCUGUGGUGUAGACGGCUUUCUGGACCAUAACUGACGCUGAGACACGAAAGCGUGGGUAGCAAACAGG
rnacentral:rRNA from 1 species